CAGCGGGUGUGUAGGUGGCAGCAGAGGAGUCCCCGCAGGGGGCAGAGCCGUCGAGUGACGGAACGAGGCGAACGUGGCGGUCUCUGCCUUUGGGCCUCUUCCAGGGAGGAGAAUCGAGGAGGCGGAGAGCCCGCCUGGCUCCUCCCAAGUUGCAGGGACAGGUCUGAAGCUGGAGCUUCAGGAGGCGGGGAGUGGAUGGGUGGGCUCCUUACUUUCUCCGCUCGCUCUGCACCCGGAAGGGGACUCUGAGCGGCAGCUGAGCGCAGGGCUCCUAGACCACACUCCGCACCCCGCAUCCCACACCCCGCACUCCGCACCCCGCAUCCCACACCCCGCACUCCGCACCCCGCAUUCCGCAUCCUGCCUCCGGCAAGCGCCGCUCUGGGACCCCUGGGUCUCCUUUGCUGGGAUCAGACCUGCCUGCCGGUGAAAUCCUAGGGCAGCCCGCACAGAAUCCAUCCCAAAGAGACCGCCUGUUGUUGCUGGCGCAAUCAGGGAGCGGCGCCUGCGGGCGGCUGCCCUCCGGGGACCGCUCGCCUGGGUUGCGCGCCGCUGGGGACUUGGCGUGAACCGGAAAGCGGGCGCGCGGUCUCGGAGCUCAGCCCUGGCCGCAGGCUCCAAGAGCCGCUGUGGGGGCGGGUGCCGCUCUGUGGCCCCAGGCGCCCAGGCUCACCUGGCGUUUCUAAAUUGUAAAAAGUUUUCAUCAGUUGGUAUGCGCUGAGCAACACUCAGAUCGGAAAAUAAUACCAGAAACUACCAGCCCCCCUCCCCGCGCUGAUUUGAAUGCUUCUUAGAUGGGCCCUGGAUUCUAGUCCUGCUGUACAUACCCACUUUUCAGUGUAAGAGGAAGCAACCACAGCUCUCUAGACACACUCGUGCGGCCAACCUCAUGAAACAGGAGUGCAUAGUACAAAGAGCAGUUUCAGAAGCUCUUAUUGGCCAGCGCAAUCCAGCAGAAGUAGUUUUCAAGGUUUAUCUUCAGAAUAGGAUCUAGAAGUGGGACUGUGGUCAAAAGAGACAGAAGCUUGCUCUGUUGCUCAUGCUGGGAUGCAAUGGCAUGAUGAUAGCUCAGUGACUGCAGCCUUGAACUCCUGGGCUCAAGUGAUCCUCCUGCUUCAGUCUUCCAAGUAGCUGAGACUACAAUUGCAACUACACCUGUUUUAUUUUUUAAAAUUUAUUUUUUUGAGAUGGGGUCUUGCAAUGUUGGCCAUGCUGGUCUCAAACUUCUGGGCCCAAGUGAUCCUCCAGCCUCAGCCUCCCAAAGUGCUGGAAUUACAGGCCUGAGCCACCACACCUGGCCUCAGUUUUAAAGAGUUCUUUAUACGUUAGAGAUAUUAACCCUUUGAAUGUGGAAUAUGUUGCAAAUAUCUUCUCCCAGUUUGUUGUCUUUUGACUUUGUUCACGGUACUUUUUUGGCAUGUAAUUAAAAAAAAUAUAUGUAGUCUAAUGUAAAAAAAAAUUAUGUAGUCAAAUAUUUUCUUUUAUUGCCUCUAGAUUUUUGAGUUAUAGUUUAAAAGCCUUCCUCUGCACUGAGAUUAAGAGGAAUUCAACCAUGUUUUCUUUUUUUUUUGAGACGGAGUUUCACUCUUGUUGCCCAGGCUGGAGCGCAGUGGCAUGAUGUUGGCUCACCACAACCUCUGCUACCUGGGUUCAAGCAAUUCUCAGCCUCCCAAGUAGCUGGGAUUACAGGUGUGUGCCCCAUGCUUGGCUAAUUUUGUAUUUUUAGUAGAGACAGGGUUUCACCACGUUGGUCAGGCUGGUCUGGAACUCCUGUCCUCAAGUGAUCCACCCAUCUUGGCCCCCCAAAUUGCUGGGAUUAUAGUGUGAGCCACCAUGCCCAGCCUCCUGUUUUCUUCUAGUACUUUCAUGGCGUCAUGUUUUACAUUGAGCUCCCUAUCCAUCUAGAGUUUAUUUUUGUGUAUAGUGUGAGCUCUGUAUCUAAUUUUCUCUUUUUUCCAGCAACAAACCAGUCAUUCCAACACUAUUUAUUAAAAGUCCACAUUGUUCCAUCCAGAGAUUUAAGAUGCUAUCUGUAUCAUAUACAUUUCUGCAUGUACCAAGCGCCUAAAUUUGAUAAGCACAAAUCUGAAAGAGAGAAAAAUAGCUAAAAUAAAUAGGUCCAGAUGA